rnacentral:rRNA from 1 species
ACCUAGUCCCACCACACCCCCAAGGGUAUUCAGCAGUGAUAGAUAUUGUCUAUAAGCGCUAGCUUGACCCAGUUAUAGAGAAGAGAGCCGGCCAACUUGGUGCCAGCCGCCGCGGCUAGACCAACUGGACUCAAAUUGAUAAUCCCCGGCGUUAAGCGUGAUUAAAGCCAUGAACAAAUUAGAGUUAAACCUACGUUGAGCAGUGAAAAGCACACGAUAGGGAAAUCCAAAAACGAAAGUUAUUCUAAUCCUUGCUUGAAUACACGACAGCUAGGGCACAAACUGGGAUUAGAUACCCCACUAUGCCUAGCCGUAAACUAUUAACCUACACCCACCCGCGCCAGGGAACUACGAGCUUUAGCUUAAAACCCAAAGGACUUGACGGUGUCCCACCCAACUAGAGGAGCCUGUUCUAUAAUCGAUGACCCCCGCUCCACCCAACCCCCCCUUGCUUUAUCAGCCUGUAUACCUCCGUCGUAAACCCGCCGUAUGAAUGUACCCAAGCGGAUUUAAUGGUCCCACACCAACACGUCAGGUCAAGGUGCAGCCAAUGGGAGAGGUAAGUGAUGCGCUACAAUUUCUAGUCUAGAACAAACGAAAUUCUGCAUGAAACACAGUUAUGAAGGAGGAUUUAGUAGUAAAAAGAAAGUAGCGUGUUCUUUUUAACAUGGCCCUGGGACGUGUACACA